rnacentral:lncRNA from 1 species
CAGAGGAGAGGUGAGGAAAAGAAAGGGAGAAGACGAUCCUCCCCACGCUCCUCCCUGCCCCGGCUGAACUGCCUGCACCAACUGCCCUGCCGGCCCUGUCCUGCUUACGGUGCUUCCUGGGGACGGCCUUUAUACCGUCAGGGGUUGGUUGGCUGCUGUCACCCCUGGCUCUACACACACCUCGUCAGCGCCCGAGGCAGCACAAGCACAGCUCCUGCCCGCUCGGGGCGGGGCCUGGGCUGCAGCUCUGACUGAAGGGCUCUGUGCCGCGUUACUGGGAGGGCCUGAGGGGUUGGUUCCAUCCACCUUCCUGUCAGGAGCCCCCGCUGCGGCUGAUGUGCGCGAAGUCCUCGCUGAAAUGGUGGUCACUUAAAGGCCAUCCUGAAAUCUACAAAGAUAUUCUGGAACAUGAUACCUCUCAUGACUAUAAAUGCCCCAAACUGAGGAAUAAGGUAUUGCCAGAAGCUGGAGACCCAGUAUAUACCAAAGAACAUACACUGAAGAAUGCUCUUUUUAAUUAAAGAAAAUAUAUACCCCUGAAGAUGAAAUCAUCUUGCUGUUCCAAACCUCUAUAGUCUGUAAAUUGGCAAAAUCUAGGUGUACAGUUCAACUAGAAUAUAAUAUUAAUUUCUGCAUCAAGCAGGAGAAUUAGUGGUACUUUAACAAGAUUUACUUGAAGCUCUGCUCUUUCACUCCCGAUAUUUAGAGGAGACUAGCAGACAGUUCUGUGCUGUACUGAGAAAGUAUUAAGCCCUCCAGUCUCAACUGCUUCCCUGCUAAUCCAUACCAGCAGAUUUUAAAUAUAUUCUAUGUAACCUGGGCCCUUUGCCCUUUCCCUAUCACUGAUACAAUUCUUCAGCUGGAAAUGCUACAUUAUUGAGACAAACUCUGAUCUUAUUGCAUCAAUCUAAACCCAGUGUUGUUCCAAUGAAGUAGAAAGCUUAAUGAAAUUAUUAUGGAAUUUACCUAGGCCAGUAUCUUUACUUUUUACAUGUAGAUAGACAACAAAUUAAAUCCCACUAUCCAGAGCAGAACUUGAAUUAAGAAAUUUCAUUUACCUGGAAGUGGGCACCGUAGCAUGAACAUAUUCUCUUUUAUGUUCAAGUUUUAGCGGGAUCCUGUUUUAACUGGUAUAAAUCCACGUGCAAUGCAAAAUGAAAACAAGUGCAUGGUGAAUGUUAUAUUCCCCCGAAGAUAUUGUUAUGCUCAAAGACUUGUCAUAGGCAAAAAGGAAGUGCAUCUCACUUUUAAAGCCAAGAAUUUUUUAGUAGCGCAACCAAAAUAUUAACAGUAUAGUAAAAAAUAUUAUUAUUAUUAUAAAUCUAAUUAUUACAGGAAAAGAAAAUAAAGGAAAAUACUGUACUACA